AUACGGAGGGUGCAAGCGUUAAUCGGAAUUACUGGGCGUAAAGCGUACGUAGGCGGUUCGUUAAGUUAGGUGUGAAAGCCCCGGGCUUAACCUGGGAACUGCAUUUAAAACUGGCGAACUAGAGUUGAGUAGAGGGGAGUGGAAUUUCAGGUGUAGCGGUGAAAUGCGUAGAGAUCUGAAGGAACACCAGUGGUGAAGGCGGCUCCCUGGACUCAAACUGACGCUGAGGUACGAAAGCGUGGGUAGCAAACGGGAUUAGAAACCCCAGUAGUCC
rnacentral:rRNA from 1 species